AAAAUAAAAUAAAUUCAUAAAACGGUUUUUGGUUUUUGAGUUUGACAGAUUGUUUUUGGUGCAGCCAGCAUGACUCUCCAAUCCAGUUCUUCUAGCUUCGGUGGCGUCUCCUCCUUCACAUGUCCUCCCAAUGCCUCUCGUCUCCGCCGCUCUCCGGCCACCGUAAUUCGAGCCAAAGUUGAACCAUCUGAGAAGUCGGUGGAGAUAAUGAGGAAGUUCUCGGAGCAAUAUGCUCGUAAGUCUGGAACUUAUUUCUGCGUCGAUAAGGGAGUCACCUCUGUUGUCAUUAAGGGAUUGGCAGAACAUAAAGAUUCUCUGGGUGCACCUCUUUGCCCUUGUAGGCAUUAUGAUGAUAAAGCAGCUGAGGCAGGGCAGGGCUUUUGGAAUUGUCCAUGCGUCCCCAUGAGAGAAAGGAUCUUCGCACAGGAAAGAGGAUUGGCAAUGGUAGGCUGCAUAAUGGCUUAUAUAUGUUGGAGGGUGAUCCAGGUUGUUCGAUAUCCCAAGCCUGUUUUAGAGAAAAUAAAGAUGUCAAUCAGGAAAUAAUACAGUGGCACAGACGGAAGGAGUGCCACUGCAUGCUCUUUCUUACUCCAGAAAAUGAUUUUGCUGGCAAGGAUCAGAAAAUCUCCCUGGAAGAAAUCAGGGAAACAACAGCAAAUAUGUGAUGUCCAGUGUACUGCGUUGUAUUGUAUUCAUUUCUUUGAUGCGCUAUCACCUUGUAUUUGGCCAAAAAAAUACCACACGUGUGGGUGUAUAUUAUAUGCUACAUGCUGUAUGCUAAUCACAAAACAAAUCUAAUUUCUCUA